UCUGGUUGAUCCUGCCAGAGGUUACUGCUAUCGAGGUUCGACUAAGCCAUGCGAGUCGAAUGUAGCAAUACAUGGCGAACUGCUCAGUAACACGUGGACAACCUGCCCUUAGGUUGGGUAUAAACCCGGGAAACUGGGUAUAAUACCCGAUAGGUCUCGAUUGCUGGAAUGCAUCGAGAUUUAAAGCUCCGGCGCCUAAGGAUGGGUCUGCGGCCUAUCAGGUAGUAGUGGGUGUAGCGUACCUACUAGCCUACGACGGGUACGGGUUGUGAGAGCAAGAGCCCGGAGAUGGAUUCUGAGACACGAAUCCAGGCCCUACGGGGUGCAGCAGGCGCGAAAACUUUACAAUGCUGGCAACAGCGAUAAGGGAACCUCGAGUGCCAGGUUACAAAUCUGGCUGUCGAGAUGCCUAAAAAGCAUUUCAUAGCAAGGGCCGGGCAAGACCGGUGCCAGCCGCCGCGGUAACACCGGCGGCUCGAGUGGUAACCGUUAUUAUUGGGUCUAAAGGGUCUGUAGCCGGCCGGAUAAGUCUCUUGAGAAAUCUGGCAGCUUAACUGUCAGGCUUUCAGGAGAUACUGUCUGGCUCGAGGCCGGGAGAGGUGAGAGGUACUUCAGGGGUAGGGGUGAAAUCUUGUAAUCCUUGAAGGACCACCAGUGGCGAAGGCGUCUCACCAGAACGGACCUGACGGCAAGGGACGAAAGCUAGGGGCACGAACCGGAUUAGAUACCCGGGUAGUCCUAGCCGUAAACGAUACUCGCUAGGUGUCGGCCACGGUGCGACCGUUGUCGGUGCCGUAGGGAAGCCGUGAAGCGAGCCACCUGGGAAGUACGGCCGCAAGGCUGAAACUUAAAGGAAUUGGCGGGGGAGCACCACAACGGGUGGAGCUUGCGGUUUAAUUGGAUUCAACGCCGGAA
rnacentral:rRNA from 1 species